CAACACCGAUAGUGGCGCACGGGUGCGUAACGCGUAACCAACCUACCCAGAACUGGGGGAUAGCCCGCCGAAAGGCGGAUUAAUACCGCAUAAGGCUUCGGUCCGGCAUCGGGCGGAAGUUAAAGAUUCAUUGGUUUUGGAUGGGGUUGCGUGCCAUUAGCUAGUUGGAGGGGUAACGGCCCACCAAGGCGACGAUGGCUAGGGGAGCUGAGAGGCUGGUCCCCCACACGGGCACUGAGAUACGGGCCCG
rnacentral:rRNA from 1 species